rnacentral:rRNA from 1 species
UACGUAGGGGCCUAGCGUUGUCCGGAUUUAUUGGGCGUAAAGAGCUCGUAGGCGGUUCGGCAAGUCGGAUGUGAAAUCUCCACGCUUAACGUGGAGGGGCCAUUCGAAACUGCCGUGACUCGAGUCCGGUAGGGGAGUGUGGAAUUCCCGGUGUAGCGGUGAAAUGCGCAGAUAUCAGGAGGAACACCGGUGGCGAAGGCGGAUCUCUGGGCCGAUACUGACGCUGAGGAGCGAAAGCGUGGGGAGCGAACAGG